UACGGGGGGGGCAAGCGUUGUUCGGAAUUACUGGGCGUAAAGGGCUCGUAGGUGGUCAACUAAGUCGGACGUGAAAUCCCUCGGCUUAACCGGGGAACUGCGUCCGAUACUGGAUGACUUGAGUUCGGGAGAGGGAUGCGGAAUUCCAGGUGUAGCGGUGAAAUGCGCAGAUAUCAGGAGGAACACCGAUGGCGAAGGCAGCUCACUGGGACGGUACUGACGCUGAGACGCGAAAGCGUGGGGAGCAAACAGG
rnacentral:rRNA from 1 species